CUUUUUAUUCCACAGUCUCUCCAGGGGUUUCAGUACCAUACCAUAAGAAGAAACUUAAUUCUGCUAAUGAGCUGGACAAGAAUGUUCUAAGCAAGACUCAGCCAAGUCAUCACAGCUGUGCUACAGCACAAGCAAACCUUGGAUCACAGGCAGCUGAACAUCUGGCCACUGUUCAGCAUCUGAAAGUCAGCUGCACAUUCGCACCAGAACAAAGGCCUGGAUAUAUGCAUUUCAUCAGUCAUCUACUCUGGAGAGGAAUGGCAUAAAUUUCAACACAUCUGCUAUUUUUGCCUGCAAAAUAUUCAAAAUUGUUUCUGCAGAAGCUAUGGGCAGCAGUGGGGGACAUUUAUUUAAAGAAACUUGGAACAAUGGAUCACUAGCGAUUAAAAUAAAAAUGGAAAUUACAU